rnacentral:lncRNA from 1 species
UGACCAUUAUAGUGAUUUUCAGCAAAUUCCCUUUAUACAUUAAAAAGUAAAAUGCCCUAGAAGAAAGGAAUUCACACAGAUGCAUCUUAAAAAUCUGUAUUAUGAUAAUUUUCUCUCUAGGACCUCACAAAUUUGAGGGAAUGUGUUAUUCUGUGUUACGAUUUUUCUCCCAAAUCUGGUGAUUCAAGAUGCGCUUGAGGUGUAAAUAAGUAGUAUUAAGUCAUGCUGGUUAUAAAAAAAAUAAAUGUGGUUUUCACUGUAGAUGAGUGCUCAGGAUCUACCUUUCAUAUGUCAUCAUCAGCUGAAAAAGAAGACAUCAAGGAUGCCAUUGAAAAUUAUAGGACACAGGUUGAGAAGGAAAAAAGCAAAGAAAGAUAUUUCAAAACACAGGCCGUGGCAAAACAGGAAGAUCUUGAUAAAUUAAAUACACCGACAGGCAUUGUUACUGAUCAGCACGUGAAACAAAAGCUUACUCUAAGGAAGAAUGACUGUUUGAAAAUGGAGAAUGAAAACACUAUAGAAGAAAAAGACAAAAAAAAUUUUUCAUCUGAGGAGAGAUCAAAAUUGAUUAAAUUGCCGAUGAAAGGUAAAUUUGCCCUGAAUACCAAAGUUGCAAAGAAAAAUAAAAGACAGACUUCAAAGCAGAAGGCUAAUCAGCAGAUGAGCACUUCCAGUGGGAAUAAUUUUCAAGUACUAGAUGAUAGCACUUUCAGUGAAACAUCUCAAGAUGAAGGAAGGUACUGAAUAUAAGGAAUAUUAUAAAUAAAACUUACUUAAUGAUAAAAAUUGACCUGAAAGCUAAAGGUAAGUUUUGUAAACCUGAUGUGUACAAUGAUUCC